CAGUCGCCGCGGUAAUACGAAGGGGGCUAGCGUUGUUCGGAUUUACUGGGCGUAAAGGGUGCGUAGGCGGACUGAUAAGUCAGGGGUGAAAUCCCAAGGCUCAACCUUGGAACUGCCUUUGAUACUGUUUGUCUUGAGUAUGAGAGAGGUAAAUGGAACUGCGAGUGUAGAGGUGAAAUUCGUAGAUAUUCGCAAGAACACCAGUGGCGAAGGCGGCUUACUGGCUCGAAACUGACGCUGAGGCGCGAAAGCGUGGGGAGCAAACAGGAUUAGAUACCCCAGUAGUCCCUGUCUCUUAUAC
rnacentral:rRNA from 1 species